AGUGAACGCUGGCGGUAGGCCUAACACAUGCAAGUCGAACGGCAGCACAGUAAGAGCUUGCUCUUACGGGUGGCGAGUGGCGGACGGGUGAGGAAUACAUCGGAAUCUACUUUUUCGUGGGGGAUAACGUAGGGAAACUUACGCUAAUACCGCAUACGACCUACGGGUGAAAGCAGGGGAUCUUCGGACCUUGCGCGAGUGAAUGAGCCGAUGUCGGAUUAGCUAGUUGGCGGGGUAAAGGCCCACCAAGGCGACGAUCCGUAGCUGGUCUGAGAGGAUGAUCAGCCACACUGGAACUGAGACACGGUCCAGACUCCUACGGGAGGCAGCAGUGGGGAAUAUUGGACAACGGGCGCAAGCCUGAUCCAGCCAUACCGCGUGGGUGAAGAAGGCCUUCGGGUUGUAAAGCCCUUUUGUUGGGAAAGAAAAGCAGCAGGUUAAUACCCCGCUGUUCUGACGGUACCCAAAGAAUAAGCACCGGCUAACUUCGUG
rnacentral:rRNA from 1 species